rnacentral:sRNA from 1 species
UACUCCAAACUUGUCCCGUGCUGCCAUG